AGAGAUGCAUUGGGUUUAAAGGGUGCGCAGGCGGUUUUGUAAGACAGAGGUGAAAUCCCCGGGCUCAACCUGGGAACUGCCUUUGUGACUACAAGGCUGGAGUGCGGCAGAGGGGGAUGGAAUUCCGCGUGUAGCAGUGAAAUGCGUAGAUAUGCGGAGGAACACCGAUGGCGAAGGCAAUCCCCUGGGCCUGCACUGACGCUCAUGCACGAAAGCGUGGGGAGCAAACA
rnacentral:rRNA from 1 species